CGAGUACUCCCUCCGUCCCAAAAUUCUUGUUUUAGAUUUGUCUAAAUACGGAUGUAUCAAGUCAUGUUUUAGUACUAGAUACAUUCGUAUUUAGACGAAUCUAAGAUAAGAAUUUUGGGACGGAGGAAGUACAAC
rfam:Triticum aestivum genome assembly, contig: Triticum_aestivum_CS42_TGACv1_scaffold_081550_1DS